rnacentral:rRNA from 1 species
GUGGGUAGCGGUGAAAUUCCAAUCGAGCCCGGAGAUAGCUGGUUCUCCCCGAAAUAGCUUUAGGGCUAGCCUCAAGGUGAGAGAUACGGAGGUAGAGCACUGAAUGUCCUAGGGGGUAUUGCACCUACCGAAGACUAUCAAACUCCGAAUGCCGUCAUCUUAUACUUGGGAGUCAGACUGUGGGUGAUAAGAUUCAUAGUCGAAAGGGCAACAGCCCAGAUCGUCAGCUAAGGUCCCUAAAUGUAAGUUAAGUGGUAAAGGAUGUGGGAUUGCACAGACAACCAGGAUGUUGGCUUAGAAGCAGCCACUCAUUCAAAGAGUGCGUAAUAGCUCACUGGUCGAGUGAUCCUGCGCCGAAGAUUUCCGGGGCUAAACCUUACUCCCGAAGCUACGGCAUCAGUAAUGAUGGGUAGGGGAGCUUCCCAUACGGGUUGAAGCAUGACCGUAAGGACAUGUGGACAGUAUGGGAGUGAGAAUGUUGGCAUGAGUAGCGAGAUGUGGGUGAGAAUCCCACAGGCCGUAAACCCAAGGUUUCCAGGGGAAGGUUCGUCCGCCCUGGGUUAGUCGGGACCUAAGCUGAGGCCGAAAGGCGUAGGUGAUGGACAACAGGUUGAUAUUCCUGUACUACCGAUAACCGUUUGAGAGAAGGGAUGACACAGUAGGAUAAGCUAAGCACACUGUUGGUUAUGUGUGCCCAAGCAUUGAGGCAGUCAAAGUAGGCAAAUCCGCUUUGAUAAUGCUGGGAUGUGAUGGGGAGCGAAAUUUAGUAGCGAAGUAGCUGAUUUCACACUGUCAAGAAAAGUCUCUAUCGAGGUUAAAGGUACCCGUACCGCAAACCGACACAGGUGGGUGAGGAGAGUAUCCUAAGGCCAGCGAGAGAACUGUUGUUAAGGAACUCGGCAAAAUGACCCCGUAACUUAGGGAUAAGGGGUGCCACCAUCAGGUGGCCGCAGAGAAUAGGCCCAAGCGACUGUUUACCAAAAACAUAGGUUUCUGCUAAGUCGCAAGACGAUGUAUAGG